rnacentral:rRNA from 1 species
GCACAGAGUUAGCCAGUGCUUCCUCUCGAGCUUACGUCAAAGUCUACGACUGUUCGUCGUAGCCCCUUCUUAACUCGUGACAGGAGUUUACAACCCGAAGGCCUUCGUCCUCCACGCGGCGUCGCUCCGUCAGGCUUGCGCCCAUUGCGGAAGAUUCUCGACUGCAGCCUCCCGUAGGGGUCUGGGCAGUGUCUCAGUCCCAGUGCGGCCGACCACCCUCUAAGGCCGGCUACCCGUCGUUGCCUUGGUAGGCCAUUACCCUACCAACUAGCUGAUGGGCCGCAAUCACCUCUGCGAGCAGGCGAUCCCGGAGGAUCCCGCCCAUUUACUACUCAGACCAUGCGGUCCAAGUAGACCAUCGGGUCUUAGCCUCGGUUUCCCGAGGUUAUCCCCGUCUCGCAGGUAGCUUGAUUACGUGUUACUCGCCCGUCCGCCACUCUACUCACCUUGCGGCUUUCGCGUUCGACUUGCAUGCCUCAUCCACGCCGCCAACGUUCGUU